rnacentral:rRNA from 1 species
UACGGGGGGGGCAAGCGUUGUUCGGAAUUACUGGGCGUAAAGGGCUCGUAGGUGGCCAACUAAGUCGGACGUGAAAUCCCUCAGCUUAACUGGGGAACUGCGUCCGAUACUGGAUGGCUUGAGUUUGGGAGAGGAAUGCGGAAUUCCAGGUGUAGCGGUGAAAUGCGUAGAUAUCGAGAGGAACACCUGCGGCGAAGGCGGGUUGCUGGGCUGACACUGACGCUGAGGCGCGAAAGCUAGGGGAGCGAACGGG